CCUANGGGGGGCAGCAGCUAAGAAUCUUCCGCAAUGGGGGAAACCCUGACGGAGCGACGCCGCGUGGACGAAGAAGGCCGAAAGGUUGUAAAGUCCUUUUCUCUGUGAAGAAUAAGUGAGGCAGGAAAUGGCCGCAUGAUGACGUUAGCAGAGGAAUAAGCCCCGGCUAACUACGUGCCAGCAGCCGCGGUAACACGUAGGGGGCGAGCGUUGUUCGGAAUUAUUGGGCGUAAAGGGCGCGCAGGCGGCCGGAUAAGUCUGGUGUUUAAGGCCACAGCUUAACUGUGGUAAUGCGCUGGAAACUGUCGGGCUAGAGUGCAGGAGGGGGAGCUGGAAUUCCAGGUGUAGGGGUGAAAUCUGUAGAUAUUGGGAGGAACACCGGUGGCGAAAGCGGCCUCCUGGACCGAUACUGACGCUGAGACGCGAAAGCGUGGGGAGUAAACAGGAUUAGAUACCCGANUANUC
rnacentral:rRNA from 1 species